rnacentral:sRNA from 1 species
GCUGGGCAUAGUGGUGCAUGCCUGUAAUCCCUGCAACUUGGGAGACUGAGGCAGGAGGAUCACAAGAUUGAGACUGGCCUUAGCAAUUUCGCAAGGCCCUAAACAAUUUAGCAAGACCCUGUCUUAC